rnacentral:rRNA from 1 species
GUCUAUGGCCAUACUUCCCUGAAUGUGCCUGAUCUUGUCUGAUCUCAGAAACUAAGCAAGGUUGGGCCUGGUUAGUACUUGGAUAGGAGACUGCCUGGGAAUGCCUGUAAGGCUUAAAAA